GUUUACGACCAUACCACGUUGAAAGCACUCCAUCCCGUCCGAUCUGGCAAGUUAAGCAACGUUGGGCCUCCUUAGUACUUGGAACGGAUACGUCCUGGGAAUUGGCGGUGUUGUAAGCU
rnacentral:rRNA from 1 species